GGAGGGUGACUCAGACGGUCACGAGAGUGGUUUGCUAAACCACGCCCCGCAAGGGGCUAGUGGGUUCGACUCCCACACCCUCCG
rnacentral:tRNA from 1 species